GUACUUGCUUCAACAGUAUAUAUACUACAAUUGGAGUAAUACAGAGAUUAUCAUGGCCCUUGUGCAAAGAUGACCUGCAAAAUCAUAAAGCAUCCCACAUUUAU